rnacentral:rRNA from 1 species
ACCGGAGACUAAUACCGGAUAAUAUUUUGAACCGCAUGGUUCAAAAGUGAAAGACGGUCUUGCUGUCACUUAUAGAUGGAUCCGCGCUGCAUUAGCUAGUUGGUAAGGUAACGGCUUACCAAGGCAACGAUGCAUAGCCGACCUGAGAGGGUGAUCGGCCACACUGGAACUGAGACACGGUCCAG